rnacentral:misc_RNA from 1 species
GAUGAAGAACGCAGCGAAAUGCGAUAAGUAAUGUGAAUUGCAGAAUUCAGUGAAUCAUCGAAUCUUUGAACGCACAUUGCGCCCAUUAGUAUUCUAGUGGGCAUGCCUGUUCGAGCGUCAUUUCAACCCUCGAACCCCUCCGGGGGGUCGGCGUUGGGGACCUCGGGAGCCCCUAAGACGGGAUCCCGGCCCCGAAAUACAGUGGCGGUCUCGCCGCAGCCUCUCCUGCGCAGUAGUUUGCACAACUCGCACCGGGAGCGCGGCGCGUCCACGUCCGUAAAACACCCAACUUCUGAAAUGUUGACCUCGGAUCAGGUAGGAAUACCCGCUGAACUUAAGCAUAUCAAUAAGCGGAGGA